UACGGAGGUGCAAGCAUUAAUCGGAUCUACUGGGCGUAAAGGGCGCGUAGGCGGGUUUGUAAGUCAAGUGUGAAAUUCCGGAGCUCAACUCCGGAGCUGCACCUGAAACUACAAGUCUAUAGAGGGAUGGCGGAGAAAAUGGAAUUCCACGUGUAGCGGUGAAAUGCGUAGAUAUCGAGAGGAACACCAGAGGUGAAGACGGGUUGCCUGGGACGGUACUGACGCUGAGACGCGAAAGCGUGGGAGCGAACAGG
rnacentral:rRNA from 1 species